rfam:Aliiglaciecola lipolytica E3 DNA, contig: CTG059.
AGAGCUGGUCAAGACAAUCGCCGCCUUGUUACCUUUUGGUUUUCAAGGGGGAGGAAAGUCCGGGCUCCAAAGGGCAGGGUGCCAGAUAACGUCUGGGCGGCGCGAGCCGACGACAAGUGCAGCAGAGAGAAGACCGCCUAAGCGCGUAAGCGCCGGUAAGGGUGAAAGGGUGCGGUAAGAGCGCACCGGGCCACUGGUAACAGUUGGUUGCAAGGUAAACUCCACCCGGAGCAAGACCAAAUAGGGUUCCUUAUGGUGCGGCCCGCAUCGGAACCGGGUAGGUUGCUUGAGCCAGUGAGCGAUUGCUGGCCUAGAUGAAUGAUUGUUAAUCUCUUUGAGAAAUACAGAACCCGGCUUAAUGACCAGCUCUAACU